CGCCGGGGGCGGGCCCGGCCGAGGGGCGGGGCCAACGCGCCAGCCCCGCCCCUCUCCCGGGAGAGGCAGAGACGCGCCCAGUGGGCACAGUCUUAAAGGGCUCGCUCUCCGGGCGUGACGGGAGUGAGGCGUCAGACGAGCCUGGAAAGCAUCACCCUUCUCCUGAAAUGCGGGGACUCUAAAAGAGACUCCAGACCCCCGCUUCCUCACCUACAACGGGAGAUUCCCACCCCGCGCCCAGGUUUCUCGCCCAGCUGCCAGGCCUUUAGAGAAACUCGAGCCAAGGUGUGAACUCAGUCGUGUGCCCUGGGCCCAGAAUGUCCUGGGCUUGGACCUGGGGGUUCCUAGAUCUUGGGGGCUGCUCGAGGCUGUGCUUGAACUCCAAGCCGGCAGGGUUAGAAGUCCAAUUCUCUGCUGCGUCCUCCAGGCAUAGGACAAUCUGGGACCUCCUUCCAGGUCGCCCGCACACAGCGCAAACACGAGUAUAAACCACGAGUGUAUACCCCUUACACAUUUAUUGAGCUGCUGUUGCAUACGGGGCUCAUACAUCACACAUCUGUGAUGGACCCCUUGGCCAUGUGGCGGCUCCGAGGCACGAACACAGUCAGGAGGACAAGGAGGAAGUAUCCCGCCUCCCGCAUGCCGCCUCCCGCGUGCCCAUCCUCCAGCAGACCCCCUACCCCCCACGACUCUCCCAACUCUAUUCUACGCCUGGAACCUGGGGCCCGAGCAUGCGAGGCUUUGGAUAGACACGUGGGCCGCGGGAUUCUCACAAGGGCUUGGUUGUCCGAAGCAACUCAACCCAGGAAGUCGCGUUCCCGCAAAGCCCACUGACUCCGAGCCUGGCGCGGGCGGGCCCUGGCAAGAUCCAAGCUGCAGGGACAAUAUAGCCUGCGGAGCCCGGGAACCGGCGCCAGCUCCCACCACAUCUACAAAGCACCCGGGGGCAUGUCCACGCGGGCCUGCCCAGCACGCUUGGCCUCGGUUCAGCCACGGCAUCGAGGAAAGAUACCGGUCCUUUUGGAUGGCGGUGCAGUAAGCCGUAGCCCUCAGCAGGUUUCUGUGCUGGAUGCCGUGUAGACAUUCCUACUUCUUCCGAAAGCAACGGAGGCAGAGGAUAUUUGGGAAGGGAAGGUGUCUUGGAUCCCUCUGCGGCCCAGAGCCCCACAGGACCCCUGGCAGCGGCGCAAAGCCGGGCGGAAGAGGGCCGCGCCGCCCCUCCGGGGCCAGGCCCAGCCUGGCUGGCUGCGGAUCAAAGAGCCAGGGCCGUCCUUCUCCGCGUUCAGAUCCUAUCUGCGCCCGCCCAGCGGGGCGCCUCGGCCCCCGCCCCUCAGGGCUGGCGUGCCCGCUUUUCCUCCCUGCCAGGGGCUUGGGGGUGGGGUGGGCACUACUGUCAGCUUGGCGAUGGAGAUGUGGGGAGGACCCUGCCCCCGUUAGGUCUCCCCAGACUCCUUUCCUGAGUGUGAGCUUGCUGCCCAGCUUCGCCUCGUCGCCUCUGGAGAUGCGGGGAAGGGCUCCUGCCUGAGGCAACCCGGUCCCGAGCUGGAGCGAGGAGAGGCCCUUGGCCUCCCCCACCUCAGCCCCUGAGGUUGUCGGGUCUGUCUCUGGGAUGAGCCUCCUCUGGGAGAGCUGAAUGGGAAUAGGGAUCUGCCUAACCCAAAGGCUUUGGGGGUCCUCCUGCAUUUGGGGGUGACCCUAGCUUAGCAGGAGCCUCCUCCAGGACAAAGGUCCCCAGAUCCAUCAGGUCCUAGUGCACAGAGGCCAGUGGGGGUUGAAGUUUUCUCCAGGCGGUGGAGAAAGGAGAGAAGUCAGGGCAACGGUGAGGUGGUUGGUUUGUUUUUCUCAAAAAGGUUAAAUUUUUUUCAGCUUUGAGUAUUAGCCUUUAAUCAGAGAUUAUGAACUUUCUGCUUUAGCGGCAUGAAAACAGCCUUUCUUUACUAAAAUGAUGGUGAGAAAUGAUUUUUUUUUUAAUGUCCUUAUUUGACAACGAAAAACUUGGCUACUCUCUGUUCACUCUCCCACCUCCAAAUUUCUCUGGAUGUUUUAUAGGGCUGUGAAUCCCAAAGUCUGGGGACCACUGCCCUAUGGGGUCAUGGCUCCAACCUCUUGCCCUGCUGGCUGGAACGAGGGGCGGGGGCGGGUGAGUAGGGAGAAUAAGGGUGUGAGGAGGGGUGAGGAAUGGAGAGACCGUUGAGUCACAGACAUCCAGAGCCAUGCUAACAUCAGCCUGAAGGCCUCCUGAGGGAGCGCUGCUGUGUACCUUACCCUGGGCUCAGGCCAUGGAGAGGAAAGGGACCAGGGCAGGGUGGUGGGCGCUCCUGCUUUCUAGGAGGCGUUGGCUGCUUGAGAAGCUGAGAAAUGAUUAGAGCUGAGUUUGUUGUUGCGUUAGUCUUUGCAGAUCUUGGCCAGAAGGGGCUCAGAUAUGUUGAGAUCAAUGUGGCUGUAGUUGUCAGAUUGGCUUCCUGGAGGAAGCGGACUUCAUCUGGGCCUGGAAGUCUCUAUAGGGCUUGAAGAGGUAGAGAGGAAAAGGAGCUCAGGCUUGCCCCCAAAAGGCAGGUGCAGCCCUGCAGCAGGCCCUUGUCUGGUCAGCACUGAUUCCACCACCAUCAUCAUCUGUGCAAUGACUUCAUAUUCCUGAGUUAUUGCUAUGUACCAGACAUCAUGUCAAAAGCUUCACUCACAUUAUCUCAUUUAAUCAUCAUACCAAUCCUAUGACCUAGGGACCAUUAUCCCCAUUUAUGAAUGAGGAAACUGAAGCUCAGAGAGGUUGAAUAAGUCAACCAAGUUCUCACAGCUUGGAAAUGAGCGUCAGAAUUCCAAACCCAGGCAGUCUGACUCCUGAGCCCACACCCUAACUACCACACUCCAGUGUUCCAUUAUGACCUCUAAAAUUCAGAGGGGAUCCUUGUUUGCUCUGUGGUCUUUGCAGACAAAUGUUAAUGAAUGAGCUGUCGCUAAUAGACUUUCUGGGUGGCUCAUGUUGCAUGGAGAGGCCACCAGGAGGACUGGCGACUCUCCCUGGCUAGUCUAUAGGGUGACUCAAGCCCUUUGCUGGGUGAGAGGACCCAGAGGGUCUCUCUUGAGUCAGACAGACCUCAGUCUGUACCAUCUCUCCCCUGGGCCCACCCUAGACUGCCGCUCCGGACACUGACUCAGAUCCAUACAGAGACAAUAGGCCCUGGGGUUCUUCCACGGGCUGGUUAGGGGAUCUGCUGUCGCUGCCCUCCUUGAGGUGACCAGGGAGUUUUGGAAUCAGGGCCAGCUUCAAGGAGGCCCCAGAGUCUUCUGGACUCAUGCAGCCCAGCUCAGAGCUGGAGAUUUAAUGAGCCUUCGUCUUCAUGCAAAUGAACCAGGUGGACACGUGCUGUCCUUAGAUGCUGGAUCCAGGACAACGUCAGAGCUCAUGAGGGUUGAGGGUCAGAGCAAAAGAGCUCCAGCUUUGGAUUUAGGCAGACCUGAGUCUCCGUCCUGGUCCUACCAUUUACCAGCUGGGGAAACCCAGACAAAUCAUUGACCCUCUCUGAGCCUCAGCUUCCUCAUGGGUAAAAUGGAUGUCACACCGAGCCUGCCUCACCCUGCGGGAGCGAGGUUAAGAUGAAUUAUGACUCCUAAGAAAGAGCUUAACACAACGCCUGGCACAUCCCAAGCACUCUAAUAAGUGGGUGCUCUUGAGCUAGAUAUUUUUCGGAAGUUGUUAGGCUAAUUGGCUCUUCAUGUAACGUCAUGUAAAUCAUCUAAAUGUUCUCAUGGCCUGAGCCCACUUAAUCACAGCUGAGGCUGAAAACACACAUUUCCUUUCCUUUUCUUUCAAGUUCCUUUAACAUGAAAAGCCCGCGUGAACUCUCUGACCUUUUCUAACAGGGAGACCCUUGAAAUGUGGCAUUUGCAGAAGGCGACUCAAAGGAGCCCCAGAUGGAUUUGGUAAAUUACAACGGGGAGAGGUUCAGAGUGGCGUCUCUUCCCGCCCGCCGGCCCGCCUGGCAUCCUGUUGGGGCUUGCCCACCGCCGCCAGGAGGCUGGGCUGCCGGCUCUGGGCAGGGACACUUCCCGUGGAGCCUUCUCUCUCAGGGCAAAGCCUGGUCACACGUUCUAGAGUCAGACUGUGGUUUGUUACUAGAAACACAGUUUGCUCUCUGGAAACUCUGUAGUUUCCCUGCAUGUUUGUGCUUGUGUGUCCAUGUGUGUGCAUGUGGGUAGUUGUGGCUUGCAGAAUGGCACAGACACACAAUUGCUGUGAUGUAACUACCCUGGGUCAGGUACCAGGCAGCUGUCUUUAAAACGAAGCAAGAAGGGUUUGAGGUCUUUUCUUCCUUCUUUAUAAUCUUGUGUGGGUUCUCUCUCCCCACCCCCGAUUUUAUGCAAUAACCAAAAAUUGCUCUUAAAAUAAAAAUUUAAUAAUAAAGCUAGAAUUUACCUAUUCCUGAUGAAACCCCAAGGAAGUUUGGCCAAAUUGGCUUGAGGGGUGUGGUGGUAAGAUUACAAAGAACUGUCCCACAGGUUCAGAGGGCUUGUUAGGACAGUUUCCCAUGGGCUAAUUUCCCACACGGUGCCAGCCAUUGUUCCCAGUGACUGGGGCUGGGAGUCAUUCGCCAAGAGGAAUAAAUAGCCCUGGGUUUCCACAGGAAAGUGUCUGGAGUCUGAGGCACCAAGGUGUCAGCAGCAAAGGCAAGCUGGGAGUGGCUGCUGUCUGCCAAGCACCGUGUCACCAGGGCGCACUGGUCUCCUAAGAGCUUGGUGGUGGGAGGCCUGUGUUCCGGUCCCUGCUCCACCUGGGUGAACUGCCAGGGGAACUCAAGUAAGUCCUCUGCCUUCUCCGGGCCUAGUGCCCCUUACCUAGUUCCAAGGAUGCAGGAGAAGCCCACAGCAAUGAGACCAGACCAGGGAUGAGAGACGAGAAGCAUCGCAAGUGCAACAAGAAGUGGGGGAUUCUGAGACCAAACAUCCAGGAAGUCAGAACUUCUCUGUUGUACUUUGUUCUUCGAAUUUUUAAUGCGUGUGAGUAAAUGCCAGCUCUGGGAGGAAUCCACCAUAAAGAUAAAGAAUGCGAAGAAGCCCUGUUUCUGACUGGUUGACCUGUGGUUCAGAAAUAAAGCGUCUUUCCCAGGUCAGGAGUUUGAGUGACUUGGCUGUGUUAUUAGGCUCAGAGUCUCUCAUGAAGUUGCGGUCAGGGCUGCGGUCAUCUGAAGGCUUGGCUGGGGCUGGAGGUUCUGCUUCCAAGGUGGCUCACUCACAUGGCUGGAAGGAGCCGGCACAUGCUGAGCAAAGGAAAAACUCUUGCCUUCUCUUGGUUCCGAGGUCUCUGAAGGAUUCCAGCCCAGGUCAUUUCUACUGCCACCCUCACCUACACACACCCACACCCAGGUGCACGUGCGCACACACUGGUGUCCCUUCCAGGGGACCUUACAAGAACCAGAGCUGGACCUGGGUUGGCCACAAGACAACAGGAAGGUGCACAAUCCAAAUCGCAGGUGGUUUUCUACAGCAGAAAUCCCUGCCUCUUUUCUUCAAUGAUUUUAGUAUGAUCUCUCUCUCUGUCCCUCGUCACCGGCCCCCCCCCCCACCCCCACC